AUAGUAAAAAACUGUGACCUCGGGUAGCAUUUUCAAGACCUAGCCGGCAAAUAACAUAUAUAUUUUGAAUAUUCAGUAGAAAUAACUGAAUUCUUUCGACAUGGUGCGCUUAGAAAGUUUUACCUGAGACCACCGCGCGUUUCCAUCCGUUCAACUCGAUUUUUAUGUUAACUCUUCCAGGAAAUCUCUUCGCUAAGAGGACAAUCGAAGAUAUCCGGCCAUGACGUUAUACAUGCAGCUGCCUGUCAGUGCACGGUUAUCGUAAAGAAACAUUUGCUUCCUUUGCUACAGGAAGUUGAAAGGACUUUUGCUUGUAACUGGGGAGAUCAAAAUAAGCAACACCGAAUGCUUCGAACAAACAAGCAAAACUAGCCAAAGAGGAACAAAAACAGCACCAGCCAAAUGUCAUACUUAUGUCAUACUGACUUCAUAUUUAGCUGACAUAGACUGAUGAACUGAAAGUGAAUCAACCUACAGAUUACACGUUACUGUAAAUAUACCUUUUGUAGACAGUAUCCUUAGAAUUAAUAUGAUGUCAUGCCGUUUUGAAGAAACUGACUUGAUAUCCCGGUCGUAUUGACCUCCUUCCCAGACCUUGUUUACAACGGAACCUGGCCUGGUCACUCGCUAGUUUUUGUGUAAACCAGUAUAACCAAUUCCCCCCUAAGUCGUUCUAAAGGUAGAGAAACACCCGAGUUUCAAGGAGUACCUGGGUUCAAAUCCUGUUGCAGUUCUGUUUUAAUUUGAAGUUGUCUUUUGUUAGGCCAAAAACGCAGUUGCUUAAAAUUGCUAACAUAGCGGGAAUAUCGUUUUAUACAUUGCUUCCAUCUGUCAACUAUUCUCUUUCUAUUCUCUAGCUUCUCUUUUUUCAGAAAAGAAGUUCUAAAAAAAUGAAAUGAAUUUAUUUGCAUGCAAAUAAAAGUUUUUAUGUCACCUCCUCGUUUAUACAUUCAAUUUGUAUCGGGUAUUGACAGGACAUGUGUAGGUCAUUCAAGGGUAAAGGUGUAGAUUACUGCGUUCGUAUUACCGUCAUUUGCUAGCUUAGACAAUACCUUGGAGUUGCGCAAGAAU